GUUUGUUUAUGUCUUGGAUUGGAGCAGCGACGCAAGUAGGGAGAGAUCGUUGCCUGGACUGCUUCUACUCUCAUCAUCGUGGCUUGCAGGUCGCCACCGUCACAAAUGUUACUUUUCAUUUACAUUCACAUGAUGUUGUAGUGUUCCAGGCAUGAAAACGAUAAAAUAUUGUGGCCGGCUGCCACCGACCGACUCGAGCUCGCUUCAGCCUCCUCCUACGAUCCUGCAGCUACUACCUCCCCAAGCAAAGUCAACCUACAGCAACAAGAACAUGGUUUGAUGAAAGGAGGGUGAUGGAUGCGCCAUGGGGCAAGUCACCUGGAUUGUGUCGUGUUGGGAGGGUGAUGGAUGUGCCAUGGGGCAAGUCCGUCUGAUGAAUGGUGUGGACGGAAGAGCGACAAUAACUAUGAGGUUGGUCAAAGGUUGAAAGAAAUCUCUUAUGUGUCUUCGGUCUCGACACCACGUGUAGGUAGCCGUCAUUGAUAAUACAAACUUUGAAAAGUUUGUUUCAAGGUUCAUAACUCUGUUGUCAAUGGGGAAAAUGUUAUCUGUUUCAAGUGACAAAACAAACUACUCAUAGCAGGUUCAUGUGAUGUGGCGUAUAAAAGGUCGAACGUCAAGACGAUCAGGUGGAUGUAUCCAAAAAUAUGCUUUUGUGGAACUAUA
rnacentral:rRNA from 1 species